GAGGGUAUAGGUCAGUGGUAUUGUGUGUGCUUAGCAUGCACAGGGUUCUGGGUUCAAUCCCCAGUACUUCCA
rfam:Camelus ferus unplaced genomic scaffold scaffold757, whole genome shotgun sequence.